UACGGAGGGGACUAGCGUUGUUCGGAAUUACUGGGCGUAAAGCGCACGUAGGCGGAUUUGUAAGUCAGGGGUGAAAUCCCGGAGCUCAACCCUCGGAACUGCCUUUGAUACUGCAAAUCUCGAGUCCGGAAGAGGUGAGUGGAAUUCCUAGUGUAGAGGUGAAAUUCGUAGAUAUUAGGAAGAACACCAGUGGCGAAGGCGGCUCACUGGUCCGGUACUGACGCUGAGUGCGAAAGCGUGGG
rnacentral:rRNA from 1 species